UGCAAUCAGAGCUUCUGGAAUAGUGAGAAACCUACUUAGGCUUUCUUUCAUCAUAAAUCUAUCUGACUGCAUACGUUUCAGCUUGUUGUCACUUUAAUUCACUUUGUUCUGCUCUUUUCAUGCAUAAGGGAUCUCCAAACUUGGCAAGUUUAAGACUUGUGGACUUCAACUUCUAGAAUUCCCAAGCCAACAUGGAGUCAGUAUUAUUUGGGCAGGUUUCCCACUUCUGAAUAUGGAUUUUCUUGCUGUGAGAAAAAAAAAUCUGGGUGUAGCAGAACCAAAGUACAGCUUGACUAUUGAUGUAUCUUGCUGGGGUCUGGAGACUUUAUAAAGUUCUAUCAUGUGGUGAAAGUUUGCCAUGAACUAUGAGGAGGGUGGAUGGAAGGGUGGGUUGCUUGGAGGAAAGCAAAAGUGACUGCUGUGUGGGGAAAGUGAGAGGAACUGCUGUAUUACCCUCCCCUCCCAGACGCUGCUUGCUGUAUCAAGAUCACGGGCUGGGAAGAGAACACAGCCGCAUACCAAUCUAUGUUUGAACUGUCCAUUCUCAAAACAUCUUGCUUGAACCUGGUUGGUAGAGGGGUGGGGGGGAGAAACAGUGAUGGGAGGGAGCUAAGAGAGGGAAAAGUUGAAUUUAGGGCUUUUGGCACUGGAUUCUCCUUUCUGGCUAUUCACUACUGCAAUGCACUUGACUUCUAAUAAAACUACAUUUUUCUCAACAAAUGGAGCCAAGAAUUGUUUCUAUUUAGAGCAGGGGUUCCCAAUCUUUUCUCUAUCCCAUACCCCUAGAACGCUUCUGAUAUAUUUUUGCAACCCUUACAAAAGUAAAUAAUUAUAUGCAUAUGCACGAUAAUUUUGAAACUUCUAAACCCAAGUUUUGCACCCCCUGGAAUAUUGUCUUACAGCCCCAGAGGGUGCAAGCACAGCUGGUUAGGAACCCUUGAUUUAGAGGUUUAAGUUGCGGCAGUAAAAAGCAGCUGCUAUUGAUGCAAAAUAUUUAGCCCCCAAACAGAAAGGAUUUUCGCCACAAGAUGGCAAUCACUCAUCUGUAUUUAGUUCCUUGGCUCAGUUUGUUAAUCCUAUUUGUUCCAGGUUCUCUAUCUCCGCACUCAGAUAAAUGGAUUCAAUAUAAAAUAAAUAUGCUGCAGACAGACAUAGGGUGAGUUCAUUGUAUGCCAUAGGAUGAGUUGUUUGUGGCUUAGCAUUUGUGUGAACUUAACUAGUGAUCAUAUUUUUUUGCA